GUACUACUCCCUCCGUCCAAAAAUACUUGUCAUCAAAAUGGAUAAAAAGAGAUGUAUCUAGAAUUAAAAUACAUCUAGAUACAUCCCUUUUUCUCCAUUUUGAUGACAAGUAUUUCCGAACGGAGGAAGUAGUUA
rnacentral:pre_miRNA from 1 species